GGUUAGAUAGUCAGCACAUGGG
rnacentral:siRNA from 1 species